AUUGAACGCUGGCGGCAUGCCUUACACAUGCAAGUCGAACGGCAGCACGGGAGCAAUCCUGGUGGCGAGUGGCGAACGGGUGAGUAAAGUAUCGGAACGUGCCCAGUCGUGGGGGAUAACGUAGCGAAAGUUACGCUAAUACCGCAUACGAUCUAUGGAUGAAAGCGGGGGAUCGCAAGACCUCGCGCGAUUGGAGCGGCCGACAUCAGAUUAGGUAGUGGGUGGGGUAAAGGCUCACCAAGCCGACGAUCUGUAGCUGGUCUGAGAGGACGACCAGCCACACUGGGACUGAGACACGGCCCAGACGCCUACGGGAGGCAGCAGUGGGGAAUUUUGGACAAUGGUCGAAAGCCUGAUCCAGCCAUGCCGCGUGCAGGAUGAAGGCCUUCGGGUUGUAAACUGUUUUUGUACGGAACGAAAAGGUUUGGCCUAAUAAGCUGAGCUCAUGACGGUACCGUAAGAAUAAGCACCGGCUAACUACGUGCCAGCCGCCGCAGUAA
rnacentral:rRNA from 1 species